GUGAGCAUGGCAUGAUGAACCUUAUCUGUAUGGGAGGGUGGGCGCAAGGGUUCCAGGCUCCAGGUCCCUUGAGCAGUACCAAGGUGGCAAUUAACCCCACUUCAGAGAUGGGAAAGUAAAGGCACAGAGCAGUCCACCCAGCAGGUCUCCUGGGCAACCCACCCUGACGUCAUUGGCAGCUCUGGCAGCUGGCCCAGGAGCUGAAGCAGCUGGUGGCCAGAUCAUGUUUCCAGGGAUCCUGAGAAGUUUCCUGGAAAGCAGGCUCCUCAACUUGCUGUGUGAUGGACAUAUGACAACUGAGGGAAAUGUCCCUCCCAGGGCUCAAUUUCUCCAGCUGUAAAAUGGACUGCUAAAUGGGCCAACCUGCAGGCAGGCUAUCAGGCAGAAGCAAUGAGAGCUUAUUAAACUGCUUCGAAAGUAAAAGGCAAGGUGUGUAGUUUGAUGGAAUCAAAAUUUGGACCUCAGGUGAUACUGUGCCUGUUUCCCCA
ensembl:lncRNA